GAGAUUGCCCCAGAGAUGACCUGCCCGAGUUUGCCAUUCUUGGUCGGUCGAAUGUGGGCAAGUCUUCACUUAUUAAUGUUCUGGUUAGAAAGAAGGAAUUUGCUCUAACAUCGAAAAAACCAGGGAAGACCCAGUUGAUUAAUCAUUUCCGGGUGAAUAGAAGUUGGUAUAUUGUGGAUUUGCCUGGUUAUGGGUUUGCUAAAGCCCCAGAUUCUGCUCGAACGGAUUGGUCCUCAUUCACUAAAGGAUAUUUUUUGAACAGAGAAACUCUAGUUGCUGUCCUACUUCUUAUUGAUGCAAGUGUUCCCCCUCAAAAGAUUGACCUAGAUUGUGCUAAUUGGCUCGGACGCAAUAAUAUACCUUUGACUUUUGUUUUCACAAAAUGUGACAAAAUGAAAGGGGGAAAAAGAACAAGGCCGGAUGAGAACAUUAGGAAUUUCCAGGAGCUGAUCAGACAAAACUACAGGGAACAUCCACCAUGGAUCAUGACUAGUAGUGUCACUGGAUUGGGCAGAGAUGAGCUUCUCCUACAUAUGUCACAGCUAAGGAAUUACUGGGAUCAAUAAGAACAUGGAGUCAAAACUACUGCCCAAUGUAAGUUAUCUGUAAAAUUAUGCAUGAAAAUCCAGCAAUUAUAUGAGAUGUUUACAGUUCCCACCCCACCCCCAACCCCAAAUUUUCCUGUUACAUGUCAUUUCUUCUAAAGUUGUGUUAAAAUAAAAAAAA
rnacentral:misc_RNA from 1 species